CAGGAUGUUUGUCCUCCUUCAACAACAGCGCACAGUGGCUGACCGACAACUUCGGUCCAUUCUCAGAGUUUGUGCUCAUCAGUGAGCUGAUCCAUCUCAACCGACUCUUCAAACCACUGGAGGCCUUACAGCUCCUCACACAGGAUCAGAUUGCAGAGCUGCUGAGACUGAUGCUUCCUGAAAACACAGAUGUUGUCAUCAAUACUCUCUUUGAUUACAUGAUCGAAGCACCAGAGAGCAGUUUCAUAGGGUUCCUGUCAUCCCUCGUGAGAUUCACCGAGACGGGAAGUAUUUUCCUUUCCUGCCCAUCCUACAGAACACUGUUCACCAGACUGGAUGACGCCAUGGCAACAGCUUCUUCU